rnacentral:rRNA from 1 species
GACGAACGCUGGCGGCGUGCUUAACACAUGCAAGUCGAGCGGUAAGGCCCUUUCGGGGGUACACGAGCGGCGAACGGAUGAGUAACACGUGGGUGACCUGCCCUCAGCUCUGGGAUAAGCCUGGGAAACCGGGUCUAAUACUGGAUAUGACUCCAUGACGCAUGUUGUGGGGUGGAAAGCCUUGUGCGGCUGAGGAUGGGCCCGCGGCCUAUCAGCUUGUUGGUGGGGUGAUGGCCUACCAAGGC